AGCAGCCGCGGUAAUUCCAGCUCCAAUAGCGUAUAUUAAAGUUGUUGCAGUUAAAAAGCUCGUAGUUGAAUUUCGGGGUCAGCAGGUCGGUCGUGCCACUGGUAUGUACUGGCCUUGCUGAUUCCUCCCUCUUGACGAACCGUAAUGCCAUUAAUUUGGUGUUGCGGGAAAUCAGGACUGUUACUUUGAAAAAUUAGAGUGUUUAAAGCAGGCUUAAGCUUGAAUACAUUAGCAUGGAAUAAUGAAAUAGGACGUUCGAUCCUAUUUUGUUGGUUUCUAGGAUUGACGUAAUGAUUAAUAGGGAUAGUUGGGGGCAUUAGUAUUCAAUUGUCAGAGGUGAAAUUCUUGGAUUUAUUGAAGACUGACUACUGCGAAAGCAUUUGCCAAGGAUGUUUUCAUUAAUCAAGAACGAAAGUUAGGGGAUCGAAGACGAUCAGAUACCGUCGUAGUCUUAACCAUAAACUAUGCCGACUAGGGAUCGGAUGAUG
rnacentral:rRNA from 1 species